rnacentral:rRNA from 1 species
UACGUAGGGUGCAAGCGUUGUCCGGAAUUAUUGGGCGUAAAGAGCGUGUAGGCGGCCCGACCAGUCCGCUGUGAAAGUCCAGGGCUCAACCCUGGAAUGCCGGUGGAAACUGUCGAGCUAGAGUCCGGAAGAGGCGAGUGGAAUUCCUGGUGUAGCGGUGAAAUGCGCAGAUAUCAGGAGGAACACCAAUGGCGAAGGCAGCUCGCUGGGACGGUACUGACGCUGAGACGCGAAAGCGUGGGGAGCAAACAGG